CCUACGGGAGGCAGCAGUGGGGAAUAUUGCGCAAUGGGCGAAAGCCUGACGCAGCGACGCCGCGUGAGGGAUGAAGGUCUUCGGAUCGUAAACCUCUGUCAGCAGGGAAGAACGGUCACUGUGCUAAUCAGCAGUGAAUUGACGGUACCUGCAAAGGAAGCACCGGCUAACUCCGUGCCAGCAGCCGCGGUAAUACGGAGGGUGCGAGCGUUAAUCGGAAUUACUGGGCGUAAAGCGGUCGUAGGCGGUAUGUCAAGUCAAGGGUGAAAUCCCCGCGCUCAACGUGGGAACUGCCUUUGAAACUGGCAAACUGGGGUGUGUGAGAGGAUAGUGGAAUUCCAGGUGUAGGAGUGAAAUCCGUAGAUAUCUGGAGGAACAUCAGUGGCGAAGGCGACUAUCUGGCACAUAACUGACGCUGAGGAGCGAAAGCGUGGGUAGCAAACAGGAUUAGAUACCCGUGUAGU
rnacentral:rRNA from 1 species